UAGAGGCUAAAUACCAUUCUUUUCCCCAACCUCUAAAUUGCCCAUUCAGAGCACGAUAGGAACACUGAAAGAUUACUUUUUAAUUUUUGCCCUCAUUUUUUCAUCAUCGUUCUUUAUGCACUUUCAACUACAACCUCCACAUUCAUUCCCUUCUCCAUUUCCAAAACCCUAAAACAUAAUUUUGCCUCACCAACUUCUUCAAUCUUUUCCUCAUAAGAAUCAAGAUAGUAGAAAUUUCUCAAUUAGCGGCAAAAUCUUCAGCAAGGAAAAAAAUCUUGACUCAAUUGAAGAAUGCCAGAUCAUAGUAUUGCUAACCAGUUUCUCAAUAGUUAUUCAGAUUUCUUGAACCGAAAGCAAGUAAUUUUCAAAGAAGCUUGUGCAGCAUAAGUAACCCUAAAACUGAUGAUUGUUUUGAUUUUUUCUUAUGCAAAUUAGUAUGUUGAAUCACGAGUUUAUUUCCCUAUUUUGGGAUCAAGAUUUUCCUCAUUAGUUACUUAUUUUUGAAGUCUAAAUCUUUAGUGAGUUCUCUUCUCCUUGUGCUUAGCUUAUGAAAUGUAUUUACUACUAGUUUUUUUUUAUUCCUUUUAUGUAUUUUAUUCUCCUUGUUGUGUUGGGGAAGUGGGUUCCAGAGCUGAGACAUUAUGCUCCGACAGCGCCGAUUGUUCUUGUGGGGACCAAACUAGGGUCUUGGACUGAAUAAGCAAAUAGGAGCACUAGCAUACAUAGAGUGCAGCUCGAAGACACAACAGGUUCGUAUAGCAUUUGUGUCAUUUGUGAUGAAACUAUUAGCCCAAAGUGCCUAUCACAUGUACUUGGAGGAUCCUGAUAUACUUCCAUUCCUUCCAAGUGCAAUCUUACAAUAUUUAAAUUAAUAGAAAGAUCAAAUUAUGACAAAAUCAAUUCAUUGAGCACCGACACUGAUUUGACAUCUUACUUUGGAUUUAAGUUUGUACAUUGGAGGAAUUAAUGAAUGACAACAUUCAUUUAAAAGUUCAUUCUUUCUAGAAGUUCAGAAGUUAUGUGUUGAAAUUUGUAGAAUGUUACAGCUGUAUUUGAUGCUGCUAUCAAGGUUGUUCUUCAGCCUGCAAAGAAAAAGAAGCAAAAUAAGAGAACAAGUAUAUGCCUUGUUCUCUAAACAGAAAUUCCCAAGUGCAAAAACCAGUGUGAAGUUGACAAUGUGAUUCUCUUCUUAUAAUUCUGUGCAUUCUUGAUCUUGUUUAUUACAAAUCUUUUUCGAGUUGAUUUUGAGUGCUUGUUGUCCUUCUGAGGCAGGGAGUUUGCAAUAGUUUGAUCAGUGUGAAACCACUUGUGUAUUAUCUUCAUGAACUCAAGGGUGUUUGGAUUUUGUAAAUUGACUGCAUAUUGAAAUGAUUUGAUGUGAAUGAAAAUUGCUUCUUUUUGAACA